UACGUAGGGGGCAAGCGUUGUCCGGAGUUACUGGGUGUAAAGCGCACGCAGGCGGUCUCUUAAGUUUGGAGUGACAGUUGGUGGCUUAACUGCCAAAGUGCUUCGAAAACUGAGAGACUUGAGGGCUUCAGAGGGACACGGAAUUCCGGGUGGAGUGGUGAAAUGCGUAGAGAUCCGGAGGAACACCAAAGGCGAAGGCAGUGUCCUGGGGAGUACCUGACGCUCAGGUGCGAAAGCCAGGGGAGCGAACGGG
rnacentral:rRNA from 1 species